AAUAACAAAGCUAACUAAAAUAAAUUUUUGUUAAAAGAAGGUAAUACUUAUUUUGUUUUUACAGGUUCAAGGAAAAGUCAGUGGAAGUCGUUAUCCAUGUCAACAUUGAACCAAAAGAAAAAAUACACUGACAAUCAAUGAAAAGAUUCAAGCGGUUGACACUGAACUAUCAGCUUGACUGUUUAAAUCAGGCAAAUGAAAAACUUCUAGGUGAAAAAUAUCUUUGCUGGCAGAGAUCUUCCUUCAGUGUGCAGAUUCCUAAACAAAAUUAUGGUUUUGUACAAAUAUAAAAAGUUUAUUGUGUUCUUCUUUAUAGAGACCAAAUGCUUAUGUGUCCAUUGAAG
rnacentral:lncRNA from 1 species